rnacentral:rRNA from 1 species
GACGAAGGUGGCGAGCGUUGUUCGGAAUCACUGGGCAUAAAGCGCACGUAGGCGGCGGCGUAAGUUGGAUGUGAAAUCCCCCGGCCCAACCGGGGAACUGCGUCCAGUACUGCGUUGCUUGAGGAUCCAAGGGGUGCAUGGAAUUCCCGGUGGAGCGGUGAAAUGCGUUGAUAUCUGGAGGAACACCGGUGGCGAAGGCGGCAUCCUGGACCGGUAUUGACGCUGAGGCGCGAAAGCUAGGGUAGCAAACGGG